rnacentral:misc_RNA from 1 species
UACAGAGCCCUCAAACGUUAUCCGGAUUCAUUGGGCGUAAAGCGUCCGCAGGUGGUGUGUAAAGUCAGUGGUCAAAUCUUCGGGCUUAACUCGGAGACUGCCACUGAUACUGAUACACUAGAGGUCGGAAGAGGUAAGCGGAAUUCUCGGUGUAGUCGUAAUAAGCGCUGAUAUCGGGAAGAACACCAAAGGCGAAGGCAGCUUACUAGUACGUACCUGACACUCAUGGACGAAAGCGUGGGGAGCGAAUGGG